CUCAAAGAUUAAGCCAUGCAAGUGGUUCAUUUGAACCCGACAGUUUAAAUAAGUGUUAGCGACACGCAUCAUAUACAUUAUGUAUAUAUAACAACAAAAUGUGAGUACGCACCGUAUCUAAUACGGGCGUGUAUCACUUAUGCAACUGCAGACAGCUGCUUAAUACAGUCACACUUGUCUUGACUUGGUGAAUUAUAGCGCGCAGUAUAUAUUUAUAUAUACAUUCACACGCACGCACACACCCUCGAGAACACACACACUAUCUACGGAUAACUCAGGGAAAGUUUGGCUAAUACGUACGAGUAACUUACACACACACACACACACACACACACAAUUACUCAGCACUCGAUAGGCCCUCUCCGGGCAUUCAAUAUGAACAAAUAUCGAGCACGCACUGGCCCGUCAAACGGCCAACUUAUACGCUGAGCAAAUAUUGUUUCAAUUUUACUGAGACGAUAUAUGUUAUACAAGUAUCUAUAGCAUCAAGUCAUAGGGUUGGCACGUGUAUUAUUGAACCUUCAAAGCAGUAACGCAUACGGAAGAGUAGUUUCUGAUCCCAUAGAAGGAGCACCGUACAAUGAGAGACCGCUCUUAGUUCUAAGGAACGCAGCAGGCGCGUAAAUUGCCCAAUGUAAUAACACAUAUAUAUCAUAUGAUAUGUGCGCAUAGCUAUACACACACACACACAGUUUUUCCAUAAACUGUAACAACAUAACCUUGUUGCACGACCUUUCGUAUAUAUUUUACGAGGCAGUGACAAGCUGUAACGGUUGAGUAUAUAAUUAUUGACGAGUGUUAGCGUUGCCGCGUACUCUCGGGUGCGCUAUGGCAUACUGCCAACACUUUGUGUGCUCAAUUGGAAUGCGGUGAGUUUAAGUAUCUCAGAAUCUGUAUAACAUGUACGUCCUGCGUGCAUGUUGUGCGUAUCUGAAUUUUCAAGUGGAGGGCAAGUCUGGUGCCAGCAGCCGCGGUAAUACCAGCUCCACUGGCCUAUACAAUCAUUGUUGCGGUUAAGAGGCUCGUAGUUGGAUUGAACAAAACAAAAAAUUUACUAUAUCUCGACACUCACACACACACACUUUGUCGAAUACACACACACACACCAUUCAACACUGUGAACAAAUCAGAAUGUAUCAAAUAUGUCGUAUAACCCUACGCGCAUUGUAUGCCCCGUCAUGGAAUGUUGCCUCGAGCUAGAGUUGUUACGCACACACAUAUUUACACGGUACGCUCUCGACUUAUAUAUAUUGUGUCGAUGGGGAUAGUUGGAAUCAACAGUACUACUGGGCGAGCGGUGAAAUGCAUUGACCCUAGUAAGACUACCAAAAGCGAAAGCAGUUGGUUAGGCUAUACCCUUUGUGCCUGCACUGCGAAUGUCAAACUUACGCACAAACACACACACACACACACACACACACCGUGCAAAAAAAGUUGACACGCAUGCGACACUUUACAAUGAAGAACGAAGGUUGGGGGAUCAAAGAGGAUCAGAUACCCUCGUCGUCCCAUUAGUUACAUCAAACUAUGGGCUCUCAAUUGCUCUCAGUUUAACUGUCGAGUAUGUUUUAUGAUCUCAUACCCUGACCUGCAAACCUGUAUGGCUCGAGCCUCCCCGCUCGCUGUACUAAACUGUAUCGGUCUCAGUAUAGACAUAUCUACUCACCAUAUAAAUAAAGUCAUGUCGGCUUACUCCGUUCGUAUUUAUAUACGUAAUUGGAUGCUAGACAUAAGAUUUUAUGAACUUUGCGCUCAGUUAAUAUACGGUGAGAUGUAAGCAUCGUAAGCAUUUGUACGCAUCCAACUUAGCCUCACGGCGGUCGGGCGUUACAUUAUGUUUAAUCUAUGAUGUGAAGCACGUGUUAGGUACGCGCUUACUGCAGAAAUGUCUGAGACACUCCUUUCCUGGGGUAGUAUGCACGCAAGUGUGAAACUUGAAGGAAUUGACGGAAGGGCACCACAAGAACGCGUGGAGCAUGUGGCUUAAUUUGACUCAACGCGGGAAAUCUUACCGGGUCCGGACACACUGAGGAUUGACAGAUAUACGCUACGUUGCGCUGCCUUCGGGUGCGCGCACGUGGCUCAAAGAUGCUAGUUCUUUCAUGAUUAUGUGAUAGGUGGUGCAUGGCCGUUCUUAGUUCGUGGAGUGAUCUGUCUGCUUAAUUGCGUAUCAAUAAUAGAGACCUAGUAUACGCGUAUUACUCAUGUGGUAGUGACCCCCUUCUCACGGAGGCGCGUGUCGCACAUAUGGUAUACGCACUGGUCUCAGAUAGCAACGAACGUGACCGUAUUCUAUUGUUGCAGUGAAUUAUACGUGUGCUUUAUUGUACACAUUCCCACUGCUUAGUGUGCGCUGCCAGCACUUGUUGCUGCUGCGUCACACAUUAAACUAUAGAGACCGCUGUUUCUUCUUUAAACCAGAGGAAGGAUACGGCAAUAACAGGUCUGUGAUGCCCUCAGAUGUUCCGGGCUGCACACGUGCUACAAUGAUCAUUGCACUGUGCAUCUAACCCAAUGUGCGCGGACGCCACGAUACGUAAAAUCGUCUUCGGGCAUUUUUUAUGUGUUCGCUUGUGCGACUGCGCCGAACCUACUUCGAAAGUAAAAUUUUUAAGUGGGUAAUCCAUUAGAAGUAAUGACUCGCAUAGACCAUGGCACACUAUAUGUACGCGCAGGUCUACCCGGCUCGCCUUUGUGUGAGUGCAGUGCGUAGCUUGUUGUUUCGUACGUGCCACUCCGUAUUAAUUCGUACGUGGGGAUAGAUCAUUGUUUAAUUGUUGGUCUCGGUCUUAACUAGGAAUGCCUUGUACGGGUCUUUGGUUCAACAUACCACCCGGAAUACGUCCCUGCCCUUUGUACACACCGCCCGUCGCUCUUACCGAUGGAUUAUACUAUGAAUCUAUAGGACUGCCAAAGCUUUGCGGCGUGUUCACACACCGCGCUUAGUGGAAAUAUAUAUGAAUAGUGUGAUCUAAAGGAAAGAGAAGUCGUAACAAGGCAUCGGUAGGUGAACCU
rnacentral:rRNA from 1 species